AUUGAACGCUGGCGGCAGGCCUAACACAUGCAAGUCGAGCGGAUGAGGGGAGCUUGCUCCUGGAUCCAGCGGCGGACGGGUGUGUAAUGCCUAGGAAUCUGCUUGGUAGUGGGGGAUAACGUCCGGAAACGGGCGCUACUACCGCAUACGUCCUGCGGGAGAUAGUGGGGGAUCUUCGGACCUCACGCUCUCAGAUGAGUCUAGGUCGGAUUAGCUAGUUGGUGGGGUAAAGGCCUACCAAGGCGACGAUCCGUAAAUGGUCUGAUAGGAUGAUCAGUCACACUAGAGCGGGAACACGGUCCAGACUCCUGCGGGAGGCAGCAGAGGGGAAUGGUAGACAAUAGGCGGAAGCAUGGUCCAGCCGGGCCACGUGUGUGGAAGAGGUGUUGGGAUUGGAAAGCAGGUCAAGUUGUGAGAAAGGGCAGUAGGUUGAGACCUAGCGGGAGUGACGGUACCAGCAGAAUAAGCACCGGCUAACUUCGUG
rnacentral:rRNA from 1 species